rnacentral:rRNA from 1 species
CGAAGGGUGCAAACGUUGCUCGGAAUCAUUGGGCGUAAAGCGCACGUAGGCGGCGAUCUAAGUCGGAUGUGAAAUCCCUCGGCUCAACCGAGGACGUGCAUCCGAAACUGGAUUGCUCGAGUAUGGAAGAGGGUCGCGGAAUUCUCGGUGUAGAGGUGAAAUUCGUAGAUAUCGGGAGGAACACCAGUGGCGAAGGCGGCGACCUGGGCCAAUACUGACGCUGGGGUGCGAAAGCGUGGGGAGCAAACAGGAUUAGAUACCCUGGUAGUCCACGCCGUAAACGAUGAGUGCUAGAUGCUAUGGGUAUUGACCCCCGUGGUGUCGUAGCUAACGCGUUAAGCACUCCGCCUGGGGAGUACGGCCGCAAGGCUA